rnacentral:rRNA from 1 species
UACGGAGGGAGCUAGCGUUGUUCGGAAUUACUGGGCGUAAAGCGCGCGUAGGCGGCUUUGUAAGUUAGAGGUGAAGGCCCGGAGCUCAACUCCGGAACUGCCUUUAAAACUGCAUCGCUUGAAUCCAGGAGAGGUGAGUGGAAUUCCGAGUGUAGAGGUGAAAUUCGUAGAUAUUCGGAAGAACACCAGUGGCGAAGGCGGCUCACUGGACUGGUAUUGACGCUGAGGUGCGAAAGCGUGGGGAGCAAACAGG